GAAAUCACCGUGAGAGAGAUCUUUCUUGUAAGAGUUAAUGGGUAUCUCGUGAUUGGCACUUAUGUUUUGUACAGCCUGAUCCUCUAACCGAAGCCUUGGAAUCUGUAGUUUGUGAUAAUGAUACAGCUGGGGAAGUUACAAGCUUCAGAGCUUGACGCUGAGGUAUUAAAGAUCUGUUGUGACUGUGUGAGCAAACCAUUAUUAUACGGGUUUCGGAAAAACUUUCUUCUACAGUGGCCUGAUGUGGAGUCUCUGAUCAAGGAGCUAGAAAUGGUUGAAAGAAUCCAAUCAGUUUCAAAAAGGCGUUUCUUAUUGAGCCCAGGUUUACAUGGCGCCAAUGUUUGAGAACCAAUACAAACUGCUUGCUCGAGCUGGAAACAGAGAACAAGAGAGAAUUGUUGAAGCAAAGAAGAGAUGAAGUUUGAUGAAAUCUACAAUCAUGUCUUUGCACCAACAGAGCAGAAUGAGUGAUUCCACUGUUUUUGUUUUAUUCUUCAAAGUGGUAUCACCCAAAAGACUUUAAAAAAUAGGUGUACAAGAAUAACAUAUGAUUUCUAGUGUAAACUUUCAAUUUUUUAUGAUGCGAAAAGGUAGUACUGAAAGGAAAAUAUGAUACAGUUCUUGUGGAAGCAUAGAGAAACGUAAAAGCAAAAAGAGUUAUGAAUAUGCUCAAACAGAGAUGGACUGUUGUUUAUAAAUAUAAAGCAUAUAACAAAAUUUUAUAGGAGGGAGCUAUUACUGGCAGCCAGGUCUGUGUUAAGGAACUCACUUCUCCACUUUUUGGUAGCUCUGCGCAUGAGUAUCUGUACUACUAUCUAACCUAAACAUGUGAGAUGUUUGAAGCAAUCAGUUACAGUAACUACCAAAUAGAAUUAUG